CCCGCGGUUCCCCGCGGUUCCCCGCGCUCCGGGCUCGCGGCAGCGGCUCUGCAGGCCUCGGCCCCCGGCGCGCAGAUCUGAUGAAGCCCAUCGAGUGUUCUCCGAGUGCUGAAGCAGCCUUGCACCCUGGCGAUUAACCCCACUGGGUCGUGAUCUGAUGAAGCCCAUCGAGUGUUCUCCGAGUGCUGAAGCAGCCUUGCACCCUGGCGAUUAACCCCACUGGGUCGUGAUCUGAUGAAGCCCAUCGAGUGUUCUCCGAGUGCUGAAGCAGCCUUGCACCCUGGCGAUUAACCCCACUGGGUCGUGAUCUGAUCAGUCACAUGGAGUGUUUGACAAGUGUUGAACCAGCCUUGCAUCCCGGGGAUAAAUGCUACCUGGUCACGGU